ACACAGCUGGUUCUAGAAGCAACAGGUCAAGAAGCCUGCUGACAAAGCCAGAACAAUCUUGUUGCAGGUCGGAUUUAAGCAUUUAUUUCUCUACCAGUCAAAGUCUUCUAGCAGCCAACUUGCCACACCAAGGAAUAUCAGAGACGGGGCAUUGCGCUAUGUUGCCCAUGCUGGUCUCAAACUCCGGGCCUCAAGUGUUCCUCCUGUCUCAACCUCCUGAAGUGCUGGAAUUUACGGGCAUGUGCCACUGCACUUGGCUCUUAUGUUUCAUUCUGUCUCAGCUUUGAAGCGUGGAAUAGAUAGGCCUCUGGAUCAGGGCUUUUAAUGAUUAUGGCUAAGCCUUAGCUAAAAAAGGUCACGGUGGAGAGGCCUAAGUCUGUGUUUUUAUUACCCUUAGUCUCUUCUGUUAUUAUUUAUGUAUUCAAAAAGCAUUUGAAGGUCUCCUUUAUGCCUAGGCAUUAUAUUAAGUCCAGGGUAUUCACCAAUAAUAAAAAUGCCCAUCAUCUUCGGAAAACAGUAUGGUGGGUACUCAAAAAAUUAAAAAUAGAAUGAUCAGCAAUCCACUUCUGGGUAUAUAUCCAAAAGAACUGAAAACAGAAUGUCAAGAGAUACAGAAUGUUCACAGCGGCAUUAUUCACAAUAGCCAAGAGGUGGAAACAACCCAAAUGUUCACUGAUGGAUGACUGGAUAAACAAGAUGUGGUGUAUACAUACGAUGGAAUAUUAUGUGGCCUGUCUAUUAUGAAGGAAAUCCUGUCACAUGCUAUAACAUGGAUGAAACUUGAGGACAUUAUGCUAAGUGAAACCAAUUGCAAAAGGAAAAAUACUGCAUGAUUCCAAUAAUAUGAGGUAUCUAAAGUAAUCAAAUUCGUAUGUAUGUAUAGAAAGUAGAAUGGUGAUUACCAGGGGCUAGGGGCAGGGGGCAAAGUUGUUGUUUAAUGGUGCUAUGAUCUGAAUGUGUGGGUCCUCUCAAAAUUCAUGUGUUGAAACCUAACUCCCAAGGCGAUUAUAUUAAGAGGUGGGGCUUUUGGGGAGGUGAUUAGGUCAGGAGGGCAGUGUUGUGGUCAACUAUCUUCAGGGGCCUGUUGAUGGCUGGCUUCUCCAUGAUAGUGAGCCUGUGUCAUAUCUCUGCUGGGGCUCAGCAGACCCCAUAUAGAUCCCACUGUUGUGCCUGGGAUGGUCCCACUAUUUCUUGGCCUGGGAGCAUGAGGGCUGAGGCCAUUGGUGGAAAUUCCAGAUUGGUCUUGUUGAAGAGAAGAGCAUCAGUCACUUUUUAAAGAAAGAUAUUUUAUUCGAAC
rnacentral:lncRNA from 1 species